UACAGAGGUCUCAAGCGUUGUUCGGAUUCAUUGGGCGUAAAGCGCGGGCAGGCGGCCCGCUCAGUCGGCCGUGAAAGCGCCGGGCUCAACUCGGCGAGGUCGGGCGAUACUGGCGGGCUCGAGGCUGGUAGAGGGCGGUGGAAUUCCGGGUGUAGUGGUGGAAUGCGUAGAGCUCCGGAGGAACACCAGUGGCGAAGGCGGCCGCCUGGGCCAGUCCUGACGCUGAGCCGCGAAAGCGUGGGGAGCGAUCCGG
rnacentral:rRNA from 1 species